rnacentral:rRNA from 1 species
UACAGAGGUCUCAAGCGUUUGUUCGGAUUCAUUGGGCGUAAAGGGUGCGUAGGUGGCGCGCUAAGUCAGGUGUGAAAUUUCGGAGCUUAACUCCGAAACUGCAUUUGAUACUGGCGUGCUUGAGGACUGGAGAGGAGACUGGAAUUCAUGGUGUAGCAGUGAAAUGCGUAGAGAUCAUGAGGAAGACCAGUGGCGAAGGCGGGUCUCUGGACAGUUCCUGACACUGAGACACGAAGGCCAGGGGAGCAAACGGG